CAACCAAGGUAAGAAGAAGUGGACAAGAAACAAACCUUGCAGAAGGGGUUGGGUUUCUAUGGGCGAGUUGGAUCAAGGUGAGUACAGAAUUGAGGUGUAGAUCUGAAUGCGGGGUGUAGAUCAGAAUUGAGGUAUAUAUCUGAAUGCUGGGUGCAGGUCAGAAUUGAGGUAUAGAUCUGAAUGCUGGGUGCCGUACCGAGGACGUCGCUGUGCUUCGGGGGCAAAAGUGACAUCCUUCUCAUCCCAAAUGUCCU